rnacentral:rRNA from 1 species
UACGUAGGGUGCGAGCGUUGUCCGGAAUUAUUGGGCGUAAAGAGCUUGUAGGCGGUCUGUCGCGUCUGCUGUGAAAAUCCGGGGCUCAACCCCGGACUUGCAGUGGGUACGGGCAGACUAGAGUGUGGUAGGGGAGACUGGAAUUCCUGGUGUAGCGGUGAAAUGCGCAGAUAUCAGGAGGAACACCGGUGGCGAAGGCGGGUCUCUGGGCCGACAUUGACGCUGAGGAGCGAAAGCGUGGGGAGCGAACAGG